CCCUUAGAGUUUGAUCCUGGCUCAGGACGAACGCUGGCGGCGCGCUUAACACGUGCAAGUCGAGCGAGAACCCAGGCUUCGGCCUGGGGGAAAGCGGCGAACGGGUGAGUAACACGUGAGUAAUCUGCCCUCGACAUCGGGAUAGCCCGGGGAAACCCGGAUUAAUACCGAAUAGCCCAACAGCUUUUCGGAGCGGUUGGAAAAGGUAGCUUUGGCCUCCGGUCGAGGAGGAGCUCGCGGCGGAUUAGCUUGUUGGUGAGGUAACGGCUCACCAAGGCGACGAUCCGUAGCUGGUCUGAGAGGACGACCAGCCACACUGGGACUGAGACACGGCCCAGACUCCUACGGGAGGCAGCAGUGGGGAAUCUUGCGCAAUGGGCGAAAGCCUGACGCAGCGACGCCGCGUGAGGGAAGAAGGCCUUCGGGUUGUAAACCUCUUUCAGGAGGGACGAAGCCACUCGGGUUAAUAGCCCAGAGGGUGACGGUACCUCCAGAAGAAGCCCCGGCUAACUACGUGCCAGCAGCCGCGGUAAUACGUAGGGGGCUAGCGUUGUCCGGAUUUAUUGGGCGUAAAGAGCGUGUAGGCGGCCAGACAGGUCCGUUGUGAAAACUGGAGGCUCAACCUCCAGCUGUCGAUGGAAACCGUUUGGCUAGAGUCCGGAAGAGGAGAGUGGAAUUCCUGGUGUAGCGGUGAAAUGCGCAGAUAU
rnacentral:rRNA from 1 species